AAGGAGUGAAGAAAGGAGCAAAAGGAAGGAGACCAGAAUCUGAGACAAGGAAUUGUCCCAUGUGCUCGAAGUCUUUGAAGAGCAAAAAUCAAGGAGAGUAAGAAUGGAAGCCACUCAACUACUGCUUCAGAACAAAGUUAGCACGGGCUCCUGAGAAAUGACUAGAAGAUAUGCCUGGGAUUCAAAGGACCUCAGAGCCACCCAUAGCUAAUGUCCCUGUCAUCCAACAGAUGCUGUGGCUUUGGGAAAGAACAGCCUUUCUUGACCUCAAAUCUUUGUGUCUGAAAAAUG
rnacentral:lncRNA from 10 species